AUUGAACGCUGGCGGCAUGCCUUACACAUGCAAGUCGAACGGUAACAGGUCUUCGGAUGCUGACGAGUGGCGAACGGGUGAGUAAUACAUCGGAACGUGCCUAGUAGUGGGGGAUAACUACUCGAAAGAGUGGCUAAUACCGCAUGAGAUCUACGGAUGAAAGCAGGGGAACGCAAGACCUUGUGCUACUAGAGCGGCCGAUGGCAGAUUAGGUAGUUGGUGGGAUAAAAGCUUACCAAGCCGACGAUCUGUAGCUGGUCUGAGAGGACGAUCAGCCACACUGGGACUGAGACACGGCCCAGACUCCUACGGGAGGCAGCAGUGGGGAAUUUUGGACAAUGGGCGCAAGCCUGAUCCAGCAAUGCCGUGUGCAGGAUGAAGGCCUUCGGGUUGUAAACUGCUUUUGUACGGAACGAAAAGCCCCGGGUUAAUACCCUGGGGUCAUGACGGUACCGUAAGAAUAAGCACCGGCUAACUACGUGCCAGCCGCCGCGGUAA
rnacentral:rRNA from 1 species